ACUUGAACCGGUAUCAAAAAGAAAAUCGGGGGCAAGAUUCACGCAUCGGUAUAAAAAGCAGCACGUAUGGAUUGCUCUCACAUCACUACUUCUCCGGCCACCACGACUCAAACAUCGGUCGCUUUUUGUUGAUCAGCCGAGUUCUCUUUAGAUCACACAGCGAAAUGACAUCUAGAAUGGUAUGGUUAUGCUUACCUCUUUUACUUGCUGUGCUAUCACCAUGCCUGAUUGAAGCAGCCUGGGAAGACUGGAACACGGGAUCUGGUAAUGUCAAAUGGCUGUUCAAUUGCGAUUUUCCUGGUUACGACAUUGGAAAUCAACCUAGCUCUGGAGAAGACUGUGGUUCGAUCUGCAUGGAAAAUAAGAGUUGCAAUCAUUUUAGUCACAAAGAUGGAAUUUGUUACAUGAAAAACGUACCGAUACAUGUUAACCGUUCCCCGGCUAACGGUGUUGUAUGCGGUUUCCGUACAUGUCAUGAUCUGUACGAUAUAUUUUCAGGACAUUAUUGUUACAAUAAAGGCUAAAGCUGUAGAAAGACGUUGGUGUGACAUUUAGCAAUUUUUUUCAUGUAACUUAAUAUUCGUUUAAUACACGUCACUCAAACUAUUCAAAACCACGUCAUUAGAGGUCACUAACUCACUAUAAUACGAGAAUUAAAUAUACAGCAGAAUGGCAAAUUCGUUUCAGCUCUUCAUUGUCAUCCGACUUUCCCUGGUAUUCAAAUAUCGAAUUGACGUGUACUAACACACGGGCAUCGGAUACGCAUUUGGGUAAACUGAGGAAUCGUUGCGGCUGGUUACGCGUCUAAAGUCCAGAUGGAAUACAGACAACUUUGCUGAGAUUCAAGUCCAACCGAAACUCCGGGACUCACUGCCAAUCGAAACAUCUGGCAAUUGUACAGUUGCUAUGAUGGAUUCAUGACUGUAUGGGACGCCAGGCUGAUAGACGAAAAUAUGAAACCCACAACGAUUCCCCUUCCCCGCUUGCCCAGGCGCGUUCGACCCUCUUUCAAGGUACAUUAAUAGUUUACGAAUUCGAAUGUUCCGUGUAAAUAGUUAAAUGUCAGUGUUGUUUUUUUUUUCCCUCUUUACUGUCCUAACCUAAGGAUUGGUUAGGUUAGUUAAAAUUUGUUUGGUUUAUAAAGCAGCAAGGGUUCUCACCGCAUCACUUCUCUGGCCACUACGAGUCAAACAUCGCUCACAUACUGUUAAUCCACCGAGAUAUCCCUUUAAAUAAAUCACAAGACAACAU